ensembl:lncRNA
UAAUGAAGCUCGUGAGUUUAAUCACUUGUUUUGCCAUCCCUCUUGGUGGAUUUUUAUUUGUAAUGGCUAGAUCUAUGAUUGCUUUAUGAUGGAUUGCCUGUAUUAAUUUGAAAUAUUGUUUAGUCACAACACUUAAUGUUGCCCGUUGCCAGCCUGAGGUUGGAUGUAUUCUACGGACCCGACAUCAAGGACAAAGUGGGUCCCCGAGGAAUAGGUUACCCUGCCAUCCAGACGACGUCCUUGGUUACGCUGUAUGUGAAAGUGUAGCCCUUUGGUAGCCCAGUGCUUUUCCCACGCACUGUCGCCGAGAGACAAAGGUAUGGUUUCUAUUUUCCUUGCUUUCGUGAACCUGAGACUGGACUGCUCACUCCCACUGCUGUAACUUUGGUCAGCUUAAUGGACUGGGACCCUGCAGUCAGCUCCUGUUCACUACAGUUACACCUCAAAAAAGACUGUAUAUGGUUGCAUGUUCAAAGGACAUUUUGUUGGGACUGACUCGUAGGAACUGGGACUAUUACCCUGUGAACAUUGUAAAUUGUGUCAUGUUUGUGAUACAGUGUUAAUAAUUCUGGAGAAGAGAAUUUCUUUGUUUCAUUAUUUUAUUUGUAUCGUGAUUUUUUUUUUUUUUUUUUUUUGGAUCCCCGUCUGUGGCUAGUGUAAACCCAGGGUUUUACAACAGUGGGAUCACAAUUGCCUGUUUCAUUCGUUGAACCUGAUUUCUUUUUAUUUCUUUUGCAUUUUUGUUUCUUGCCAUCCAUGAUUUCAGGGCCCAUCAUAACUGAUGGAUGGUAAAGUUCAAAGGGCCAUCUGAGCAAAUUAAAGUUUAACAUUGCUUAGAAGAGACCGUUUCAUGUUUUUGUCUAACCCAAGUUGCCUUGGAGUAGGGGCACCCAAGCUAUCUGGUUGGGGUACAGAAAAUCAGAGGAAAGGUAGGCUAGGCUGUGUUUGUGUCUGAUAGUAUAGUAUACUCCAGGCAGGCAUCGUUUCUCAAGAUUGAAUCCUGGAGCCCCUCUUCUGUGCCCGUAUCAGC